UGCAAAGUGAUUGUUUUGUUACAAGUAGUAAAUACUGCACAAAUCCAUAACAAAUAUUGAGCAGUUUCUCGCAUUUUCUUUUUUAUAUUAUAUUGGUAAGGGUUGUAUUGUGUUUUGAUUUCACUGUUUCUUUUGGUCAUAUUUGAUAGGGAGAGCCAACCGUUGAGGUUACAAAUGAAGGUGUUGAUGCUGCAGGGCAUACAAUUGGUACAUCUUUGGAGGUCGUGUUCAAACUUAGGAAGGUUCUCAACCCCAAGAGUGUGAUCAAACCAACAUCACUAGCUAAAGAUUAUUUUGAGAAUAACAUCUAUCGAAUAAAUUUCAGACGAAAGACCUUGGUAAACUCCUAUAUUUUUUGGGUAUUGAGGUAAUUCAAUCUAAUGAUGAUAUGGUAAUUUCUCCGGGGAAAUAUGCUAUGGAUACUUUUGAAGAAACAAGUUUGUAGAUAAUGCACUCAUAGAAAGUAAGUCACUUUAACUUGUUGGUAUCAUCCAAAGGUAACUAGAAAUACUAUGUUUGGUUUGGUAGGACUUUCUAACUGUAUGUUGUUCUUUUUCCUUUUUCAAAGACUUCCCAUAAAGGUCAAUGUCACUCUUUUAUGCUUAUAACAUCACGUGUUGUCAUAAUUUUGUAUUUUUGUUUACUCUAAAAUGUUACUCUUUUUAUUUCCCAGGAUUAUUUUGAAGUGAUAACUAACUUGUUCGUCGGAGUGUUUGUAGGAAGGUAUGUACGCUCUUGUCAUGAAUAAAUCAAAAUGAGUCUUGAGGUCAUUACAGGGAGAGCCAGCCGUUGAGGUUACAAAUGAAGGUGUUGAUGCUGCAGGGCAUACAAUUGGUACAUCUUUGGAGGUCGUGUUCAAACUUAGGAAGGUUCUCAACCCCAAGAGUGUGAUCAAACCAACAUCACUAGCUAAAGAUUAUUUUGAGAAUAACAUCUAUCGAAUAAAUUUCAGACAAAAGACCUUGGUAAACUCCUAUAUUUUUUGGGUAUUGAGGUAAUUCAAUCUAAUGAUGAUAUGGUAAUUUCUCCGGGGAAAUAUGCUAUGGAUACUUUUGAAGAAACAAGUUUGUAGAUAAUGCACUCAUAGAAAGUAAGUCACUUUAACUUGUUGGUAUCAUCCAAAGGUAACUAGAAAUACUAUGUUUGGUUUGGUAGGACUUUCUAACUGUAUGUUGUUCUUUUUCCUUUUUCAAAGACUUCCCAUAAAGGUCAAUGUCACUCUUUUAUGCUUAUAACAUCACGUGUUGUCAUAAUUUUGUAUUUUUGUUUACUCUAAAAUGUUACUCUUUUUAUUUCCCAGGAUUAUUUUGAAGUGAUAACUAACUUGUUCGUCGGAGUGUUUGUAGGAAGGUAUGUACGCUCUUGUCAUGAAUAGAUCAAAAUGAGUCUUGAGGUCAUUACAGGUAAUGUUCUUCUAUUGCUUCUUUUCAUUUGGUUUUUACAAUAAAUGCAAAGUGAUUGUUUUGUUACAAGUAGUAAAUACUGCACAAAUCCAUAACAAAUAUUGAGCAGUUUCUCGCAUUUUCUUUUUAUAUUAUACUGGUAAGGGUUGUAUUGUGUUUUGAUUUCACUGUUUCUUUUGGUCAUAUUUGAUAGGGAGAGCCAGCCGUUGAGGUUACAAAUGAAGGUGUUGAUGCUGCAGGGCAUACAAUUGGUACAUCUUUGGAGGUCGUGUUCAAACUUAGGAAGGUUCUCAACCCCAAGAGUGUGAUCAAACCAACAUCACUAGCUAAAGAUUAUUUUGAGAAUAACAUCUAUCGAAUCAAUUUCAGACGAAAGACCUUGGUAAACUCCUAUAUUUUUUGGGUAUUGAGGUAAUUCAAUCUAAUGAUGAUAUGGUAAUUUCUCCGGGGAAAUAUGCUAUGGAUACUUUUGAAGAAACAAGUUUGUAGAUAAUGCACUCAUAGAAAGUAAGUCACUUUAACUUGUUGGUAUCAUCCAAAGGUAACUAGAAAUACUAUGUUUGGUUUGGUAGGACUUUCUAACUGUAUGUUGUUCUUUUUCCUUUUUCAA